GGUGGUGCCGACCUGGUGGCGGCCCCGGUCUUCAAAACCGGUCGAGGUGCGUCGAGAGGCGAGGCCUGGUGGGUUCGAUUCCCAUGACCCGC
rnacentral:tRNA from 1 species